CACAGAGUUGAGAAGAUCAAGGAAGAGAAAUGCGGCAUUGGAUAGUGACAACAAACAAGAAGAUGAUGGAGACAAGGAAUUGGAGAACAAGCUUUUUGCAGAGAAAAUCUCCCCAGAAAACUUCGAAAGACCUUCCUGGAAUUGUAAAUUCUCUCAAAGAUGUAUUGGAGGGCAUGAGAAGAAACUCAUCUUACAGCUCAAGUUCAAGCCUGAGUUCCAGUGAAUUGUUCUUCUGCAUCAUCAGAAAGGAUGGUGCUUGCUGAUUCGGAUAUUACAGUGUCAAAGAGGAUGUAUGAGAGACUGAAUAAAUCAAGAGUUUCACUUUUCACCCAAGAACUGGCCACAGUAAUCUUUGGUAAAGAAACUCUUGCAAGAUGUACUCUUACAGGAAAAUCUGGCAAUGAAACCCGUAAGGGCCAGUUGGACGCUCACAAGGUCAAUGUGCUCAUAGACGCUGUAAAAAAAAAAAAAUCCAAACACCACAGGGUCUCAGGUGCGAUCUGUCAUCUGCAGUAAAUGCAACAAGGCUUACUCGAUAAAAAAAAAUUCCCUCCACUGUAAGGAUACAGUGAAGUAUCAGGUCUAUGUUUGGUUUGUUUUUUGUCACACUUGUGUUUCCUUGUUUGCAUUUUACUUCACACUGUUGUACAAUGGUAAGUGUCAAUUGAAAAAGUUGAAUGUUGAAAAGUUUUCAAGCAU